AAGUUAUGCAUAGGUCAUUUUCAAAGCAAAUCUUUGUACCAUUCUCAUACCUCGUAUGUGGUUUCUUCAUUUUACUACCUGAAAGAUGUUAUGUCAUUUCUUAGUCU